rnacentral:lncRNA from 1 species
CCACUAUAUUGAACAACUGCUUGGUCUAAGAAAUCAAGCAUGUCAUUUCCUCCACUUGCAACACAUUCCACCGCUGGUUGUGGGAAGGGGUCAGAAGCAGAAACCUCUCCUGUCAAAAGGUCAAGCAGAUUACUAGGAAACGGAUCAUUCUGUUGUACUGGUGUGGACACAGUUUCAGCCUGUAAAGAUUUUGCGGCAAAAGGAUUCGAGUCAGAACAAGAUGAAAAAGGAACUUCAUCUUCUUUUGUUUUCCCUGCAAUCUCAGCCAAUCUUCCUCCGGUACGUUCGCUAGUAAACAUUCCUUUCCAUGGAAGAGAAACUCCAAGGACUUCUAUCUGUAUCACAAACACAAUGCAGAAGAAGUUUUGUUUUAAACUGUUUUGCUUUCAUGUUGGCUAGUCAUACUAUUAGAUAAAUCAUUAAUUUUAGUCCAGAAAGUAGUUAUUACCUGACCAAGAGUCAUGGGGAUUUUAAGAGAACCAGCUGGAUAAAAUGUAACAGAAACUACACGGGUCAAGAAAUCCAGUUGUCCUUCUAGUUCUUCAAAAUCAUACAGCAGUGAAAGACUUGACGUAUCUUUUUCAUGGAGACGCGCACCAGCUCCAGUAAUAGCAAUAUCCUCAUCACGAAUUGGCCCUGGUAAGGGUAUCAGAAGAUUUGUACCAUUCGCACACCGCGGUAUCGAAGCAUCCUGUCCAAAAACCAGAAAUACAGACAAUCGUCAUCCAGUUGAACUAGCUUGCAUGCACGUCUACAUGAUACAAUAAAAGAGAAGGGACAAGAGAGUCAGUCAACCUGAACAACUAAUUUAAGGUCCUCUAAGUGGCGUCCAGUUUUCACGUUCACAGUGGAUGGACAUGUCAAAUCAUCCGCACCGUGUGAUAUUGUCAGUACAAGUUGACAUACAUGGCAAGGCUCACUGAGGUAGAUAACUAACUCAACAGCAUCUGCAGCUUGUGGACAUAGCUGCAAAGUAUAUAAAAAGCAGGGGAAACUUUUAGCUCAAAUUUUUGAGGGAUGAGAACAAAGAGGUAAUGUUUUAUCCAAAAGGAGGUACCCAAGUUAUGUCCUUCGUCUUGAUACUCAGCAGACUGGACCCAUCAUUGGAAGUCUCAGACAUGCUCGGUACAGGUUUCAGAAAGAAACCACCUGGCCGAGAAAGUACCUGACAUGAAAAAAAGUUCCAGUGAGCAGUAACAUUAACAUAGCUGCAGUGAAAAAUUGUAUUAGUUUGCUUACAUGUAAAGGCUGCACAGGAAUCGAUGGAAGAUGCUUGAAAAGCCUCAUUCCCAGAAACAUCUCCAGCUGCUUUUGCCGUGAACUAUCAACCAUUGCAUUUUUAUAUCUUCUCUGUAAGGUAAUUUUCAUGUUUUUCUGUGCUGCAGAAAACUGUUUAAACGCUCCUGACUCUUCACUGAAGAUAUUGAGAACUUGGCUGUGCAUAGCUUUUGAGCCAGUAUAGAGAGUUGCAUGGAUAUCACCUUGUUGCAGAAAAAGAUCUGCGAGCUCAGACACAGGAGACAAGAUAGUUGAUCUCUUAAACUCCUCAAACCUCAUGUCAAGUCUCUUCCAUGGUUUAUCAGGACAUGGAUGACUCCAUGUUGUUGUCUUAGUAUUGUGAUCAAUAAAAUAAGAUUUUCCAGUGACUGCAUCAGCUCUUUUCUCCCAUCCCGGUGGAAGCGGAGCAGUAUAGCUACUCCCAGAAUUAUAACCAUAUCCAAUAUCAGUAUCAAGUGAUAUCCCCAGCCUUCUACAUUGCUCAACGAACACUUGAAGACCUAUAGAAGUAGCAGAGCCAUCAGCAAGACUUCCACCUCCAUUCGCGUUGUCCCUGGAGUAGGAUUUUGAAAGCAGAACCGCUCCUCUUCCGGCACAACAAGACUUGCAAGCUUUCUUCCUACACUGUAAACAUAAGAACACUGAGCCUGGCUCUCCCCCCAAACUCUUGGUAGUAGAUCCAACUGAAUUUUUGUUGACCUCGGCUCUGACUUGACACACUCCACCGUUACAACCCUCACCAAUUCCGUUAAUAUUCCAGAAAUCUAUCACACUAUUUUCCAGCUUCUCUAAAUCAAUAGAAGCUAUAAGUUUAUCUUCAAGAGAAGCCUGGCCAAGAACUGCAAGUGCAUUUGCUAUUCUGCAUAAUCUUCCAAUAUAUAACUCGUCGUGUGAAGAGUUCGGAUUAAUUGUAGCAGGAUCAAUUCCAAUUGAUAACAGUGCCCUAUCUCUUUCUGCUGCAGAAAUAUUCAGACGUAGCCGUUCAAUUUCAAGUUUAAUAGCUUCUAUAAACUCAAGCUUCCUUCCCUGUAUUAUAAUAGACAUGCAGAAAUUAAGUUUACAAUUAAAAUGGCAGUUUAAGAGGACAUAUAACAUCUGAGAUGAAUAGCUGAACCAAGAAAGGAGUCAUAAGAUCAGAAAUGGUAUGUGACAAGAUGAAGUAACAUACCAUGUUUGGACCCAUAACGGACUUCAGACAAUUUAAGUACAGAUGAGAACCACUCUCUCUAGAACUUUUAUCUUGUGAAGAAGACAUGCUGGGAACAGUUUCAGGACCACUAUAUUGAACAACUGCUUGGUCUAAGAAAUCAAGCAUGUCAUUUCCUCCACUUGCAACACAUUCCACCGCUGGUUGUGGGAAGGGGUCAGAAGCAGAAACCUCUCCUGUCAAAAGGUCAAGCAGAUUACUAGGAAACGGAUCAUUCUGUUGUACUGGUGUGGACACAGUUUCAGCCUGUAAAGAUUUUGCGGCAAAAGGAUUCGAGUCAGAACAAGAUGAAAAAGGAACUUCAUCUUCU